rnacentral:misc_RNA from 1 species
GAAGCGUCCGGCGGCGGCCUUGCCACACUGCGAGCCACGAAAAGACAUCUGGGAUGGUCAAACUUGCCUGGCGAUCGCGUACUACCAGAUUGGACGCAAGCCUGAGGCUACGGCCAUCCUGCAACGCUUGUUGGCCGAGAACGGUGACGGGUUG